rnacentral:rRNA from 1 species
GAUGAACGCUGGCGGCGUGCCUAAUACAUGCAAGUCGAGCGAACAGACGAGGAGCUUGCUCCUCUGAUGUUAGCGGCGGACGGGUGAGUAACACGUGGAUAACCUACCUAUAAGACUGGGAUAACUUCGGGAAACCGGAGCUAAUACCGGAUAACAUGUUGAACCGCAUGGUUCAACAGUGAAAGACGGUCUUGCUGUCACUUAUAGAUGGAUCCGCGCCGCAUUAGCUAGUUGGUAAGGUAACGGCUUACCAAGGCAACGAUGCGUAGCCGACCUGAGAGGGUGAUCGGCCACACUGGAACUGAGACACGGUCCAGACUCCUACGGGAGGCAGCAGUAGGGAAUCUUCCGCAAUGGGCGAAAGCCUGACGGAGAAACGCCGCGUGAGUGAAGAAGGUCUUCGGAUCGUAAAACUCUGUUAUUAGGGAAGAACAAAUGUGUAAGUAACUAUGCACGUCUUGACGGUACCUAAUCAGAAAGCCACGGCUAACUACGUG